UUUGUUAAGUGCACUCCAAAAAUUUUCUGGUUUAGGGAGGAGAGAUGAGAAUUGAGCUUCGUGUGGUAGUAUUGUAAUGGUGGCAUCGUGGAGGCCUGUGCUGAGACCCAUGUUCGUGGUUUCCAAUACCAAGAUUAACACACUAGCAGCUUUGAACCCAACUUCACACAGAAGCAGAGAGCACCAGAGCCAAAGCAAAGAAAGCAAGAAUGAGACUCUUGCGAUUGUCUGAGGCAGCAGAAAGCCUUAAACGCCAAGUAACUGUCCGUGUUCAUACUGGGAAUGAGGAUGAUGCGAGGGAGCUACUUUUUCAGAAGAAGAAGGUUAUGCAGACUAUGGAAAGAUCAAAGAGUCGUCUUUGGAUUGCUUGAUAAGCUUUCUGUAAAACUUACUGAGAAUGGUAGCUCUUCCGCUGGGGAUUAUGCUCCAGGUCAAAUGAUUUGGACAGCAAAUAUUCCAGCAUCAUGAGACAAAAUCAACAGCUUUCAGCAUAUCAAUUAGGCCAGCAGUCUUCAAAGACUUAUGGAACGGCAGGGUACCUGAAUUUCUAUCCUUCUCAAAUAGAAAUUACACAGGAACAGAAACUACAGAACUUCAGGGAUUUUAUAUUACAUGGUAAUCAAGAGCCAUCGUCACAAGAAGUACACCAAUUUUGGCAGCGAAGGCGUCAAAACUCAUAAUCCUUCAUCCAAUCAGCUCCUCCAAAUUUUGGCAGCUCAGCUAAUGAUUUUCAGUUCUGGGCUAUACGAUUAAUCACACCAAACUUGGCUGCAUAGUUGCUGAUCUUCGAUUCUUUUCCCUUUUUUCAGUGAGCUUUAAAGCGGCAAAUAAAGUUUGGCAGUGUCAUAAUGCGGGUUAGAUUUAUGGUUGUUUAGAUAAUUGAAUGUGAUUACUUCCUAAAUUCAGUUGUUAGUGUCUUGCGUUUUUCAAUAAGUCGUGCGGUUCUGCUGUGCACGGUAUUCAAUUCUUGCAUAUCACAUCAAAUUCAGAUUGCAUGGUUCCA